AUGAAUGAAAAUACACAGAAAAUGAACCAGUGUGGACUUGAUUAGAGAUACAGUAAUAAUGUGCUCAUGGAAAGUAAUGCAUCUGUUCUGUGUUUUAGCUUCUUGGAUUUUUCUGCUGCUGACACAAUCUGGACUCGCCUCAGAAUCAUCUGAAGGGAGUGCAGACCUCCCCCUCGGUGAAGAGAUAGACGUUGAUCAGUGUCCAGAGGGAAAACACUUCUCCCACCAGCUUUGUUUGGAGUGUCCAGCUGGUCAUUUUUGUCCCGGCAAUGUAUCUGCACCUCAUAGAUGUCCAG